rnacentral:lncRNA from 1 species
CAAGUUCGCCGUUGCUGCCCCUGUUGCCGCCGUGGGCUCUGGCGCGGCCGCUGCUCCCAAGGAAGAAGAGAAGGCGCCUGAGCCUGCCGAGGAGUCGGACGAGGAGAUGGGCUUCAGCCUGUUCGACGACUAGAGCUGCUCACAUCCGUCUAUGCUGCUGCGGCUUUAGGCUUUCUCUUAUUACAGCACCACCAAAGUAUUGUCAUCUUAUCAGUUAGCGUAUCAUGUUUUUUGUUAGUAGACAAAGAAC